rnacentral:tRNA from 1 species
CUUUUAAAGGAUCAAAGUUUAAUCCAU